AAGCGGAGGAAAAGAAACUAACAAGGAUUCCCCUAGUAACGGCGAGUGAAGCGGGAACAGCUCAAAUUUUAAAUCUGGCUGCUUCGCAGUCCGAGUUGUAAUUUGAAGGCGUCUGUCGCAUGUGAGACGAUGGCACAAGUCCUCUGGAACGUGGCAUCGUAGAGGGUGAGAAUCCCGUCUCUGGUCGUUGUCUUGCAGGCACACGGCAGGCGAUCCGAAGAGUCGAGUUGUUUGGGAUUGCAGCUCCAAAUGGGUGGUAAACUCCAUCUAAGGCUAAAUAUUGGCGAGAGACCGAUAGCGAACAAGUACCGUGAGGGAAAGAUGAAAAGAACUUUGAAAAGAGAGUAAAACAGUACGUGAAAUUGUUGAAAGGGAAACGCUUGAAGUCAGUCGUGCCGGCGGGGAUUCAGCGAACUUCGCGGAGUGAGCGUAUUUCCUCGCAUGGCAGGUCAGCGUCAGUUUUGCGCGUCGUGAAAGGGCUCGGGUAAGGUGACUCUCUUCGGGGAGUGUUAUAGGCCUGAGCAGAUGCGAUGCGCGGGACUGAGGAUUGCAGCGGACACCCUUCGGGGCGCGGCGACCGAUCCCUGCUCUGUCACCUUCGUCCGAUAGCGUGCUAACGGUCGGGGGAGCGGCGGUUGCACCGGGUUGGCAAGCCGGCGGCUUCGCUAAGGAUGCUGGCGUAAUGGCUUUAAACGACCCGUCUUG
rnacentral:rRNA from 1 species